UCCGUAGGUGAACCUGCGGAGGGAUCAUUACACAAUAAGA
rnacentral:rRNA from 1 species